rnacentral:lncRNA from 1 species
CCAAGAUUUCUUAACAUAUUGAAGAAAAUAAGAAGUAAUACUCCAAUUUUUGAAGAUAAAGACAAUAAUUUUAAAUGUAAGUGUUCAACUAUGUCAAUAUUUUUAAGUUUCGUGUGUAAAUAUGUGCCAUAAAUAGUAAUAUAUUCAUGUAUAUUUUAACCGCCGUGCGUUGGCGGCACAGUAUGUGGCCCAGUUUCGGGUCAGUACCAGUAGCGGGUCAAUAGAAAUUUGAUUUCAUUUUUUUCCGCCGAGAUAAAAAGCGACGCGAAAUGAAAUAUAUAGAUAUAAUGGUGAACCUUUCCUUUUUUGGAUGAUAGUUUUCGCAGGCUUUUUAGUUGAACUGUAUUCAAAGAAGAAUCCCUUUUGUCCGGGUAUGUUUAUAUUCUUUUACUAAAAUUUGUUCAUUUCACUGCGCAGUAAAAUUAACUAAUAACAAUAAAUCGUAUUAUUGAUAUGUAAUUCUCCAUGUAACAUACUCAAUUUUGUCCUAACGAUAGAUUAUUGCCGAGAAUAUAUAAAUAUGAAAUGGCAAUUCAAUUAUUCAGAAUUUUAGAGAUAUAUUCUGGUCCCACAAAUUACGUUUUAGUUUGGCUUUGUGGCCCAGUUUCGGGUCAGCUAUGUUUCAACCUCUGAAAGUGGAAGCACUGCUUAGAACGCACUCCGCAAAAACUGUGUAGAAGAGGUAGUUUCAAGCUGGAAAUAUCAUGUCUAAACCUUGUCAAAACCUCACAAAAAAAUUGUUAAUAACUUAAGACAUGUUGAAACUAUACAAAAUGAUCGAAAAUUGCCGUAAAACAAACGCUUUUAUACAAUAAACAAAGAACCUU